rnacentral:rRNA from 1 species
GACAGAGGUCCCGAGCGUUAGGCGGAAUCACUGGGCUUAAAGCGUGUGUAGGCGGAUCGUUAAGUGGCUUGUGAAAUCCCAUGGCUUAACCAUGGAACUGCUUGGCAUACUGGCGGUCUUGAGCCACUUAGGGGCAACCGGAACAAAUGGUGGAGCGGUGAAAUGCGUAGAUAUCGGAAGGAACAUCAGUGGCGAAGGCGACUUCCUGGACCAAUACUGACGCUCAGGUGCGAAAGCGUGGGGAGCAAACAGG